CCCAACUUUCUCCGCAGCCCCCGCCAGCGCCUCGUCCCCACCUACUCACCAGGUCCCAUGUGAUGUUGCUCCUCCGCGCUGCCGUCCUCCCCAUUCUGAACUGCCACUGGCCGCCGGCUUGAUCUUCACCAAGUCACCAUCCCCCCUGUUCUCCACUACCAUCCGUGGCCGCGCUAUCCUGCUGACAUCCUCUGCUACCUCCGCCUAGGUUACACCACCAUUAGCUCUUCCCGCUGGCAUCCUCCUCUGCACCAAGUUGCUGCGGUUUGCAACCAGUGAAAAUGCUAUUCGGCAAGUCCACUGCAGCAGUUAGCUAGAAACGAAGAUGAAGCUUCUUUGGGGGAAACUUAACAUCUUGCAAGGCUCCCUGCUGGAUAUCGGCGCUAGAGUGGACCGGACACCGUCGUUGCCCCGCGCCCAUAGACUUCUCUUAUGCAAUGCAAGGUUCAUUUUCCUCUUAAGCAUUCACACGGAAAGAAUAGAGCUACUCCGUUCACAUUCUGCGUCGGUGUCAGAACAUGUUAUACUAAUUAGUAAGUUCAGGAACUAUGUUCCAAACUGAGCUUAGACAAGGAGACAGGGAUGUAUUGACAGAGUGUUGUGUUGUGUGCUAUUAGUUUAGGGGGAAAAAAGCAGAUACUCGUCAUGGGUUAUGAAGUAGACAGAGUACACAAGAUGCCUACCAUGGUCUAUGAAGUACAGGCAAAAAGGUGCCACUUGCCGUCGGCGCUCUCUUGUCACGACGAACAGGCCAAGCAACGAGACUACGUGAGAAGGGUCAGCAUUAGCGGGAGCAGGGUAUGGAUGGGUAAGGAGCAGCAGUAUCUUCACUGCUGCUGCUGAUUUGUUUCCAUCCUAGUACAAUUAGUUGACCAUCUCAGUACAACUAUUAUUGGGUGUGCCAAAACUAGAUGCUUGACUACCUUAUUAUUAUCACUAGUGCUUUCUUUUCAGAUUGCUCCUUCAGUCCAACCUGACCCCGCGUCCCACUCAGCCAUUUGGUUUGACAUCAUCUUCAUAUUCUUCUUCUCCUCUCACUCCACACGAUUUUUGCCCAUUUUUCAGUUCUACACUAACGCUGCUUCUAAUGGGGUGUAUGUGUGAUUAUUGGUUCGUGCUUUGUCUUAGUCAGUGCUAGGAGGAAAUUUUAGAAAAAAUGUGUUAAUGGAGAUGCAUGGGAGUUGUGCCUCAAGUGUUCUCUUUUGUAACUGACGACACCAAGUGGGGGCUCAGUUGCUGCUCUAAUUCGAACAAUUUGGAGGAGGAAUGCGUGAGAAACAAGUCUCCCAACGAUGACAAGGGUAUGACCGGCGACAACGAGUAGGUGGCACGUGUACCACAGCGACAAGACUGAGGUAAAGCAGAUGUGUGUGGUGAGCUCUCGUUUCAUUAGUUCAAGUGCUUACACCUUAUAAAGUUCAGAGAAAAAACAUUAUGUUGCUUAUUGCCCGGCCCUAUAAGGAGCGAGCGGAGGAAUUCCCACCUAAUCUACCUUGUCCCUCGACCUGAUCCUCAACACCGGCCCGCCACUGCGAACUCUCCUCCCACAAUCUGCCGCCAGUGCCUCCCCCUCCCCCAGCGCGUCGCCGCGGCCCCUCCUGUCCCAGCGCGUCGACAGGGCCUCCCCCUCCCCCAGUGCGCCGUCGGGGCCUCCCCCUCCCCGCAGCGCACCGCCGUGGCAUUUGUCCAUCACACAAACAGAGUGUGAGGUACCAAAGAACGUCAGGCAGGAGGAUUUUGGAAGAAAUGACAGAGAAAGUUCGAAAAGAGUAGUCUUGGAAGUACAAGGGCAAAAGUUACUGGGUUCAAGAAAAACGAAAAUUACUUGCAUCAGCUCGUCGGAAUUGGUGUGUGUGCUUGUAACACAAUCAGUUCAGAUAUCGAGAGACCAUAAGUUUAUUGACAAAUAUGUAUAUUAGUUCAUGUCUCAAGAGUCCAUAAUUUUGUAAGGCCAAAAAAUACAAUGGCUUAGUACAUCACAGCAGCUCUUUGAUGCAGAAAGGAUGGCUCUUCUCAAGUCAGCAGCUAACCAAACUGUCAACUUUGGGGUAGCUCAGUCAAUAUAGGAGUUGUGCAGUAAACAGCUUCAGUCGAGAAAUCAGCAAGUUGUAGUGCAUAGUGUCUUCCAGGCACCUGUCCUAAUUCCUAAAAUAUUCUACUCAACUUCAGCGCCAUGCUCAGUCCAACCACAUGGCUUCAGGGUGCCCGAGUUCGUCGCCACCAUCAGUUCGGAGACUCUGCCACUGCGUGUGUCGCGACCAUGUCCACCUGCGUCACUGCGUGCUCCGUUAACAGCCUCCCGCGCAAGGAAAAGCAACAGGAGUAGAGCCGUCUAAGAUGCUCUGUUCUAGCGAGGUGGCUUAUUAUGUUUGUCAAUUUGUAGUACUUUGGCCGCAAUGUACUUGUGUAUCUUUUUCUGAACGGAGCACGACAGAGAUUAUGUCAUUAUGAACUUUGAUUGUGAUGGUACUACAAACUCUAUAAAAACACCAGUAAUCCAUUUUUACUGUUACUUAUCUUUUAUACAA